rnacentral:piRNA from 1 species
UACCCAGGCCAAAGUCACUUCAUUUUGAACUC